GUCUGAGUAGCUCAGUUGGUGGAGCGAUCGGCUGUUAACCGAUAGGUCGGAGGUUCGAGCCCUCCCUCAGACG
rnacentral:tRNA from 1 species